rnacentral:misc_RNA from 1 species
GUGAAUCAUCAAAUUUUUGAACGCAAAUUGCACUCUCCUCGGAGAGUAUGCCUGUUUGAGGGUCAGCCUAUAAAAAUUCGCAAUCGUUGCUGUUUCGCGGUGGCGUCGUUCGGAAUUUGGGUAAUCUUAAACCUUCUGGUUUUAGGCGACUUAAAUUUUCCUUUUUGGUUAUAUGAAUGUCUCUAAGAUUUAUUUCUUUACACGUUAAAGGUAUCG